rnacentral:rRNA from 1 species
AGUGAACGCUGGCGGUAGGCCUAACACAUGCAAGUCGAACGGCAGCACAGUAAGAGCUUGCUCUUACGGGUGGCGAGUGGCGGACGGGUGAGGAAUACAUCGGAAUCUACUUUUUCGUGGGGGAUAACGUAGGGAAACUUACGCUAAUACCGCAUACGACCUACGGGUGAAAGCAGGGGAUCUUCGGACCUUGCGCGAUUGAAUGAGCCGAUGUCGGAUUAGCUAGUUGGCGGGGUAAAGGCCCACCAAGGCGACGAUCCGUAGCUGGUCUGAGAGGAUGAUCAGCCACACUGGAACUGGGACACGGUCCAGACUCCUACGGGAGGCAGCAGUGGGGAAUAUUGGACAAUGGGCGCAAGCUUGAUCCAGCCAUACCGCGUGGGUGAAGAAGGCCUUCGGGUUGUAAAGCCCUUUUGUUGGGAAAGAAAAGCAGCAGGUUAAUACCCCGCUGUUCUGACGGUACCCAAAGAAUAAGCACCGGCUAACUUCGUG